ACCAACUCUCGGAGCCCACCCAAACCCAUGUUCAUCGAGUCGGUGAUGCCAUCGAACCAUCACAUCCUCUGUUGUCCCCUUCUCCUCCUGCCCUCAAUCUUUCCCAGCAUCAGGGUCUUUUCAGUGCCCGUAUCUCAACUCACAAUGAGGGGAGCAAAGUGUCGCCUCUGAAACCGUUACAGUGCCUUUGCCUCGAAGGCCAGGGGGCUAAAGACAAACCAGGCUGGGUCACUGGAAAUAGCUGUUCACAAAGACAGAUCUGGAAGAGGCUCCUGCACUCCUACAUCUCCUGGCCCUGCUGACAUCACAGAGGCUGGGCACCUUCCCCUGGGGACCCCCAGGACUGGGCAGGGCAGGGGCAGAAGAGUAAGUUCAUGGAAUCAAGUUGAGCCUAAAGGACCGGAAAUUCAGGUACCUUCAGGGGGCAGGCAGGCAGGCAAGUGGAGGGUGGCAGGGGGCAGUAGGGACCGUGGCCCAGAACUCACGCCCCAUCGGAAGGUGUGGUGGCCACUCAGCUCCAGCCACCACGGCCGUGUGGGAAGUAGUGUGCGUCGCGGCUGGAGCUUCUGAUUUUUCAAAAGAGGUUGGAAAUCUGGCUUUUAAUGCGAAACUUCACAAUUUGAAACAUUUGGGUUAGAUUUUUUUUUUUUUUUCCUGAAGCUCCGUGUCAGCUAAACUGAAUACAUCUUUGAUCUUCGUGUCUGAUCUGGCCCACAG
ensembl:lncRNA